GUGCUCCCUUCAGCAGCACACAUACUAAAAUUGGAAGGAUACAAAGAUUAGCAAGGCCCCUGUGCAAAUUUAUGAAGCAUUACAUAUUUUA
rnacentral:snRNA from 1 species